rnacentral:rRNA from 1 species
GUAGGGAAUAUUGGUCAAUGGAUGCAAGUCUGAACCAGCCAUGCCGCGUGCAGGAAGACGGCCUUCUGGGUUGUAAACUGCUUUUGCCGGGGGAUAAAAAGUCCAUGCGUGGACAAUUGAAGGUACCCGGUGAAUAAGCCACGGCUAACUACGUGCCAGCAGCCGCGGUAAUACGUAGGUGGCAAGCGUUGUCCGGAUUUAUUGGGUUUAAAGGGUGCGUAGGCGGCCUAUUAAGUCAGUUCUGAAAUAUCCCGGCUUAACCGGGAGGGUGGGAUUGAUACUGAUGGGCUUGAGUGGAAUCGAGGUAGGCGGAAUUGACGGUGUAGCGGUGAAAUGCUUAGAUAUCGUCAAGAACACCGAUAGUGUAGACAGCUUACUAGACUUCAACUGACGCUGAGGCACGAAAGUGUGGGGAUCAAACAGGAUUAGAAACCCUAGUAGUCC